rnacentral:SRP_RNA from 2 species
GCCGGGCGUGGUGGUGCGUGCCUGUAAUCCCAGCUACUCAGGGGGCUGAGGCUGGAGAAUCACUUGAACCCAGGAGGUAGAGGUUGCAGUGAGCCGAGAUUAUGCCACUGCACUCCAGCCUGGGUGAUAGAGUGAGACUCCGUCUCAA